rnacentral:rRNA from 1 species
UACGUAGGUGGCAAGCGUUAUCCGGAAUUAUUGGGCGUAAAGAGCGCGCAGGUGGUUGAUUAAGUCUGAUGUGAAAGCCCACGGCUUAACCGUGGAGGGUCAUUGGAAACUGGUGAACUUGAGUGCAGAAGAGGGAAGUGGAAUUCCUGGUGUAGCGGUGAAAUGCGCAGAUAUCAGGAGGAACACCGGUGGCGAAGGCGGGUCUCUGGGCAGUAACUGACGCUGAGGAGCGAAAGCGUGGGGAGCGAACAGG